GAACAGCUCCAGUCUACAGCUCCCAGCGUGAGCGACGCAGAAGACAGGUGAUUUCUGCAUUUCCAUCUGAGAGACAGAAUCUUGGUUGGGCACGGUGGCUCAUGCCUGUAAUCCCAACACUUUGGGAGGCCGAAGUGGGAAGAUCACUUGAGUCCAGGAAUUCAAGACCAGCCUGGGCAAGAUGGUGAAACCUCGUCUCUACAAAAAAUAAAAAAAACUAGCCCGGCAUGGUGGCAUGCACCUGUGGGUAGUUUGUGUCAUGAGAGGAACAAGAGCUUCAGGUCUUCAUUGAUCUUUGUUGCCAAUAUAUGACUAAAACAAAACCUACUAUCACUGUCAUUCCCUACUGCAGAUUCACUUAUCAGAGGCCAAAAACUGAAACAUAACAGGGAAAGAAAUACUUUCCUUUUUUUCCCUCCUCACUCAUUACCCAAAACGAAGAAGACUCACAUGGAGCAUAAAGGCACAACAUUUUCCCAGACCCAAGGUGGGAUAGGAAUAGAAGGCACUGAUAAAGACAGGAGAGUAGAAAAAAAUACUCCAAAAGACAAGAUGAAGGAUUUGAGAGUUGUUAUAGGGAAAAAGAAAAACUGAAAAAGUAGAUGUAACAAUUAAAAAAACCACAUCCAGGAAUCUUCAUUCAAAUACCACCAAAGUUUAAAAGUUUGCCUCAAAUGUAAUCAAACUCUAAGUAAAAUGUUCGUAGAAUAUAAAAACCAACUUUACAAAAACAGACUGUGCAAUGCCAACAUGAAAGAAUGAUAAUCUCGUAUUUAUAGCUGUAUGUAUAUUUCUGUUGGUAUUCUCACAAAUUCUAUUCUCUCACUUAAGAAUGUACAAUAAGUGUAUUAUAUAACUAAACAAAAGGGAAAAAAUGUUACAAUUUCUAACAGCUGAAGAAGUUUUGAUAAAGUGACCAGGAGAAUAAUACAUAAUGAAAUCAAGGAUAUAUAAUGCUUAAAAUUUACGUCUAUUUCUAACAGCUAACCAACUUGAAAAGAUUCAGAUACUCUAACAUGAACAUAAAAGGAAAAACAUAAUAUACCAUCUUCGAGUGAAGAGGCAAUCACACAUCCCUCAUUUUGCAUAUUUGUACUACCUGUUAGUAAAAUUUUAGACUUUUUAAAACUAUUUAUUGGAAAGAUAGUGAUCUAAGGAUUAAGACAUCCAUACUCUAGUUUAACUCAGUUAAUUAUAUAAUCAUAUGAUUGUGAACAUGUUGUUUUCCCUCUGUAACUUUUUUCUCAUGUAGAGUGAAAUAAUAACCACCAAAUUAUAAAGAAUGGAUAGAAAAAAUACUGCACAGAUGCUAACACAUUUUUAUGACUAUUUACAGCUUCCUUUCAUGUACGAUUCAUACCUAAGUCAUUAAACAAGCCCAUGAUGUGAGGAGGGUAAGUAUCAUGCCCAUUUUACAUAUGAAAACAUAGAAGACUGAUGUUCAGAGAGGUUGAGACUUCCCCAAGAUCACACUGCAAGUUGCACAAUCAACAGCUUUUUCUUUUACUACAGAGUAGGCUGCCCUCACAAGUCUGAAGUGGUAAAAGUUGUUUUCUCAUGCCCAAAUUACUAUGAGAACUACCCAAGAGAAACCGUGUCAACAGAAAAGUGUCACCACUUGAGAUCAUUAGGAGACAUAACUUCCCAAAAGAUCAUUAUCUGAGUAUAAAAUUUUGAUUAAAAAUAAGUUAAAUAAUCCUUAAAAGUUUCUAGCAGUCCUGCUAUUUACUAAAUUAAUUUCACGCCUCUUGUGCUAGAUACACCACUCUGCUGGUGCGGGUGGGACAUGGGAGUUAGGUGGAGCAGGAAAGAAUUUCAUCAGAAAAAGUUAAGUUCUCAGCCGGGCACGGUGGCUCACGCCUGUAAUCCCAGCACUUUGGGAGGCCAAGGCAGGCGGAUCACCUGAGGUUGGGAGUUCGAGACCAGCCUGACCAACUUGGUGAAACCCUGUCUCUAGUAAAAAUACAAAAUCAGCUGGGCGUGGUGGCGCAUGCCUGUCAUCCCAGCUACUCGGGAGGCUGAGGCAGGAAAAUCUCGAGCCUGGGAGGCAGAGGUUGCAGUGAGCCCAGAUCAUGACAUUGCACUCCAGCCUGGGCAACAAGAGCAAAACUCCAUCUCAAAAAAAAAAAGUUAUCUGAAGUUCAAUGGAAUAAGACAUUCAAAGCUAUAAAAUAUGAAUAAGGGCAGGCGACAGCUUGUGGACUGCAGUGGCAACCCUAAGUCAAACCGUGAGUGCCAGACUAUGGUUUAAAGAAAAUAUGCAAUCUGGAAGUUUGCACCUCAAGUUACUGCUACUGCAAAGUAAUUAGUACCAUUUAUGGUAAGAAUAUGUAAAGUUUUAGAACGUAAUGCCAAUUCUUCAUUUUAGUAGGAUGAACUCCACAUUAGCUUGAGGCUUUGUCUCAACAGAAGCUUUUUUGAUGAUAUAGUCAAUGGCUCAAAAGCCACUCAGGACCCAGCACAGUAGUUCAUGCCUGUAAUUCCAGUGCUUUGGGAGGCCAAGAUGGGAGGACUGCUUGAGACCAAGAGUUUGAGACCAGCCUGGGCAACACAACAAGACACCGUCUCUACAAAAAAAAUUAAAAUAAUAGCCAGGUAUGGUGGCGCACGCCCAUAGUCCUAGAUAUUCGGGAGGUGGGACAUCACUUGAGCCCAGGAGUUCAAGGCUAUGGUGAGCUAUGAUCACACCACUGCACUCUAGCCUGAAGAACAAAGAGAGACUUCACUUCUAAAAUAAAUGAAUAAUAAACAAUUUUUAAAAACCAGUUAUAUGCGGAGAAUAUAACUAUAUAUCACAGGCAUAUAACAUUUGAAGUGGUCAAAUGGAUCGUCUUUAAGAGACUUUAGCGAGGGUACUAUAAAUAGCAGUUAUAGUUUAUAUCCUAUAGCAUUAAACACCUGAGAGUACUCUGUUUACUGAAGGCUCUACCACAUAGUAUGAUACAGAAAUUUACAACUUGCUGAGACCUUAAACUUAAUUCACAGUCACUACAAUGUAAAACCACUUUUCUUUCCUUCAAGAUUAAAACAAAUGGUCUCAUCUUUCCCUUCCCACCCCCAAGAAAAUGGGGUACUUUAAAAGAUGUCAGAUGAAACAAGCCAAUACUUUUAAAAACACAAGUCAAUCCUUUGCAAAGAAACAGAUUAAGAUGCUCAUAUUCUGCUUCGGUAUUGACCCCAAACCUUUUAACAGUUUAAGCUGACCACAAAUCUCCCCUUCCACUUCUAUAGAACAUUCUUCUCCUUAAACUUCCUUUAGAGCCUUCCAAUACCUCCUGUCCCUUGACUUAUAUACACACACACAUCCAAAAUAUACGCAGACCUAAGGAACACAAGUGGAAAACACAUUUUUAAUUAAUACACUGCUUAUCCUUAAAAGUAUGUUGUUAGAAUGCAACAAUAUAGAGUCUACAUAGAACCCCAGAAUACCAAAUUUGAAAGAUACAACAAAAAUGCCCCAUAGCAAUCUGAGUAAUUUAAAGAACAAAGAUGUAAAAAAUAAGGCAUUCUUACUACUGUAUUACAUGACUUAAACUUUUGUUUAAGGACAAAAUUUUUGGUUGGGUACAGUGGCCUGUACUCAAAUAAAAAAUGAAAAACAAAAAUACUUUCUCCAUGUUAAAAAAAUUUUUUUUUUUUUGAGACAGGGUCUCACCCAGGCCAGAGUGCAGUGGUGCAACCAUGGCUCACUGCAGCCUUAAUUUCCUGGGCUCAAGCAAUCCUGACUCAGCCUCCCAAGUAGCGUAUACUACCACACCAGGCUAAUUUGUCUGGUUUUUUUUUCUUUUCUUUAUUUUUAACCAAUGCACACUGGCUGAUUUUUUUUUAUUUUUUAUUUUUUUACUUUUUGUAGAGAUAGGGUCUCACUCUGUUGCCCAAGCUGGUCUCAAACUCUGAGGCUCAAGUGAUCCUCCCACCUCAGCCUCCCAAAAAGCUUGAAUUAUAGGCAUGAGCCACCGCACCCAGCCAAAACAUUUUUUAAAAGCAGACUUAAGGCCAGCUGCAGUGGCUUACAUCUGUAAUCCCAGCACUUUGGGAGGCUGAGGCAGGUGUUUGAGGCCAGCCUGGCCAACAUGGCAAAACCCCAUCCGUCUAUAGUAAAAAUACAAAAAUAGGGCCAGGCACGGUGGCUCAAGCCUGUGAUCCCAGCACUAUGGGAGGCUGAAGCAGGCGGAUCACCUCAGGUCAGGAGUUCAAGACCAGCCUAGCCAACAUGGUAAAACCCUGCCUCUACUAAAAAUACAAAAAAAUUAGCUGGGUGUGGUGGCACACGCCUGUAAUCCCAGCUACUUGGGAGGCUGAGGCAGGAGAAUCACUUGAACCCGGGAGGCAGAGGUUACAGUGAGCCAAAAUUGUACCACUACACUCCAGCCUGGGUGACAAAGCGAGAACUUGUCUCAAAAUAAUAAUAAUAAUAAAGUAGAUUUGAGAAAAGAAUCUAAUUUCCUAAUGGUUAAAAAGUCAAAUAAAAAGAGUAGGGCAAAAAACAGGAACAUUUAAAAUAAAAUGUAACAAUAUUAGUCCAGCACCAUAGCUUAUGCCUCUAAUCCCAACACUUUGGGAGGCUGAGGCAGGUGGAUUGUUUGAGGUCAGUAGUUUGAGAGCAGCCAACAUGGCGAAACCUUGUCUCUUUUAAAAAUACAAAAAUUAGCCAGGUGUGGUGGUACGUGCCUGUAAUGCCAGCUACUUGGGAGGCUGAGGCAGGAGAAUCGCUUGAACCCGGGAGGUGGAGCUUGCAGUGAGCUGAGAUUGUGCCACUGCACUCCAACCUGGGCAACAGAGCAAGACUCUAUCUCAAAAAAAAAUGAAGAAGAAGAAAAAAGAGAUCUUGUCAAUGGAUACUAAAGUAAGGUAUAUAUUGGCCAAGGUACAUACAAAGGAAUAUCCAGAGACUAGUCACACUCCCAUUUUUUUGGAAGACAGGGUCUCACUCUGUCACCCAAGCUGGAGUACAGUGACACAAUCAUGGCUCACUGUAUCCUUGAACUCCUGGGUUCAAGUGAUCCUCCUGCCUCAGCCUCCUGAGUAGCUGGGACUACAGGCACAUGCCACCACACCCAACUAAUUUUUUUUAGAGACAGCAUCUCACUAUGUUGCAAAGCCUGGUCUUGAACUCAAGGCCUCAAGCAGUCCUCCCACAGGGGCCUCCCAAAGUGCUGGGAUUACAAGCAUAAGCUACCGCACCUGGCCUA